GUGCUCGCUUCGGCAGCACACAUAUACUAAAACUGGAAACGAUACGGAGAAGAUUAGCAUGGGCCCUGUGCAAGGAUGACACGCAAAUUCGUGAAGCAUUCCAUCUUUUU
ensembl:snRNA U6 U6 spliceosomal RNA